rnacentral:rRNA from 1 species
AUUGAACGCUGGCGGCAUGCUUUACACAUGCAAGUCGAACGGCAGCGCGGGGCAACCUGGCGGCGAGUGGCGUACGGGUGAGUAAUAUAUCGGAACGUACCCAAGAGUGGGGGAUAACGUAGCGAAAGUUACGCUAAUACCGCAUACGAUCUAAGGAUGAAAGUGGGGGAUCGCAAGACCUCAUGCUCCUGGAGCGGCCGAUAUCUGAUUAGCUAGUUGGUGAGGUAAAGGCUCACCAAGGCGACGAUCAGUAGCUGGUCUGAGAGGACGACCAGCCACACUGGGACUGAGACACGGCCCAGACUCCUACGGGAGGCAGCAGUGGGGAAUUUUGGACAAUGGGCGCAAGCCUGAUCCAGCAAUGCCGCGUGAGUGAAGAAGGCCUUCGGGUUGUAAAGCUCUUUUGUCAAGGAAGAAACGGCUGAGGAUAAUACCUUCGGCUAAUGACGGUACCCGAAGAAUAAGCACCGGCUAACUACGUGCCAGCCGCCGCUGUAA